UACGAAGGGGGCUAGCGUUGCUCGGAAUUACUGGGCGUAAAGGGCGCGUAGGCGGCACUGUUAGUCAGGCGUGAAAUUCCUGGGCUCAACCUGGGGACUGCGCUUGAUACGGCAGAGCUAGAGGAUGGAAGAGGAUCGCGGAAUUCCCGGUGUAGAGGUGAAAUUCGUAGAUAUUCGCAAGAACACCAGUGGCGAAGGCGGCUCACUGGCCCGGUACUGACGCUGAGGUGCGAAAGCGUGGGGAGCAAACAGG
rnacentral:rRNA from 1 species